rnacentral:rRNA from 1 species
UGCUUAAUACAUGCAAGUCGUACGACAGCAUUCUUUUGGGGAUGUAUGGAGUGGCGAACGGGUGAGUAACACGUGAGUAACCUGCCCUUUUCUUUGGGAUAACGUGCGGAAAUGUGCGCUAAUACUGAAUAUUCUCGCUUUGCUGCAUGGUGGGGUGGGGAAAGGAUGUUUGUCUGGGAAGGGAUGGGCUCGCGGCCUAUCAGUUUGUUGGUGGGGUGAUGGCCUACCAAGGCGUGGACGGGUAGCCGGCCUGAGAGGGUGUUCGGUCACACUGGGACUGAGAUACGGCCCAGACUCCUACGGGAGGCAGCAGUGGGGGAUUUUGCACAAUGGACGCAAGUCUGAUGCAGUGACGCCGCGUGGGGGAUGAGGGCCUUCGGGUUGUAAACCUCUUUCGCCAUCGACGAAGCCGCACGUGUGUGUGGUGACGGUAGGUGGAGAAGAAGCACCGGCCAACUACGUGCCAGCAGCCGCGGUAAUACGUAGGGUGCGAGCGUUGUCCGGAUUUAUUGGGCGUAAAGAGCUCGUAGGUGGUUUGUCGCGUUGGUCGUGUAAUCUCGCAGCUUAACUGUGGGUCUGCGGCUGGUACGGGCAGGCUGGAGUGCAGUAGGGGAGACUGGAAUUCCUGGUGUAGCGGUGAAAUGCGCAGAUAUCAGGGGGAACACCGGUGGCGAAGGCGGGUCUCUGGGCUGUUACUGACACUGAGGAGCGAAAGCGUGGGGAGCGAACAGGAUUAGAUACCCUGGUAGUCCACGCUGUAAACGGUGGGCGCUAGGUGUGGGGGGACUUACAUGUUUUCUGUGCCGUAGCUAACGCUUUAAGCGCCCCGCCUGGGGAGUACGGCCGCAAGGCUAAAACUCAAAGGAAUUGACGGGGGCCCGCACAAAGCGGCGGGAGCAUGCGGCUUAAUUCGAUGCAACGCGGAGAAUCUUACCCAGGAUUUGACAUAUGCCCUGGACUCCCAGAGAUGGGGGGUCAUUUGGUUGGGGGUGUACAGGUGGUGCAUGGUUGUCGUCAGCUCGUGCCGUGAGGUGUUGGGUUAAAGUCCCGCAACGAGCGCAACCCCCUGUCCUAUGUUGCCAGCGAGUCAAGUCGGGGACUCAUAGGAGACUGCCGGUGUCAAACCGGAGGAAGGUGGGGAUGACGUCAAGUCAUCAUGCCCCUUACGUGCUGGGCUGCACAUAUGCUACAAUGGCCGGUACAGAGGGCUGCGACCCCGCGAGGGUGAGCGAAUCCCAAGAAGCCGGUCUCAGUUCGGAUUGGAGUCUGCAACUCGACUCCAUGAAGGCGGAGUCGCUAGUAAUCGCAGAUCAGCAACGCUGCGGUGAAUACGUUCCCGGGCCUUGCACACACCGCCCGUCAC